rnacentral:rRNA from 1 species
CCUGAGUACGACGGAGCACGUGAAAUUCCGUCGGAAUCUGGGAGGACCAUCUCCUAAGGCUAAAUACUCUCUAGUGACCGAUAGUGAACCAGUACCGUGAGGGAAAGGUGAAAAGUACCCCGGAAGGGGAGUGAAAGAGAACUUGAAACCGUGUGCUUACAAGUAGUCAGAGCCCGUUAAUGGGUGAUGGCGUGCCUUUUGUAGAAUGAACCGGCGAGUUACGAUCUGAUGCAAGGUUAAGCAGAAAAUGUGGAGCCGUAGCGAAAGCGAGUCUGAAUAGGGCGAAUGAGUAUUUGGUCGUAGACCCGAAACCAGGUGAUCUACCCUUGGUCAGGUUGAAGUUCAG